GACGAACGCUGGCGGCGUGCUUAACACAUGCAAGUCGAACGGAAAGGCCCUGCUUUUGUGGGGUGCUCGAGUGGCGAACGGGUGAGUAACACGUGAGUAACCUGCCCUUGACUUUGGGAUAACUUCAGGAAACUGGGGCUAAUACCGGAUAGGAGCUCCUGCUGCAUGGUGGGGGUUGGAAAGUUUCGGCGGUUGGGGAUGGACUCGCGGCUUAUCAGCUUGUUGGUGGGGUAGUGGCUUACCAAGGCUUUGACGGGUAGCCGGCAUGGGAGGGUGACCGGCCACAUAGAGCAGGAGCAACUGCCACUAACCAGACGGCAGGCAGGAGUGGAGAGAGUGGCACACUGGGAGGAGUGCGGAGGAAGCGGCGCCGGGGGCAGGAUGACGGCCUGCGGGCUGUCACCCGCUGUCUGCUGUGACGAAGAGUGAGGGACGGUAAGGAGAAAAAAAUCACCGGCAAACUACGGGACAGAAGAGGCGAUAAUAAGCGGAACCAAACACGUCUCACC
rnacentral:rRNA from 1 species